AUUCUUCUUUAGUUAGGUACUGCCAUCAAUGAGUUUGCUAAGAAAGAUCCCGGUGGAAUAUUUGGCCUGCUUACUAACUUAUAGGCUUCAGAGGGGACCCUUUCUCGCCCAGCCCUACCUACAGGGAGUGUAGGAUUUCGUUCGCAACUCUUUUUCCUAGAAAUCUCAAUCCAGCGAGUCACUACUCUUUUUCUCAAACAAGAAGCUGACAAAGAGAUCCAUCCAUUUGAUUUUCCCAAGAGACUGGUUUGAUUCCACCAGAGUCUCUC
rnacentral:lncRNA from 1 species